UUUUUACACCAGGAUGAUCUGCUUCAGCUCUGCGAAGGUACUAUGUAGUAAAUGCACAACGUCAGCCUUGCUUUGUACAGAAAGCUUGUGAGGUCAGCAAGUCAAUUUCCCGUGAAACCGGUUGGUAGAAAAGUCCUGUACAACAUCCGUGAGGUUUUCGAGAUAUAUAGGAAAGAAGCACAGCAAGAAAAGAUCAUACACUUGCAAGGCAGAGGAGAAGCUGCCCUAAGAGUCCUUGCCUUUCUGAGGCAUUUGCCAGAGGUGCGACUUGAGGACAAAAGGGCCUCGACAUCAGCAAAUCCAGAUCGUGUUGAGAGCAAGGAUCCUGUCAUGAAGUUAAUCUCUUGUAUUUAGUCCAAGAGGACUGCUCUACAACCAUUCUUCUAAUCUACUUCAUCUAGAUCGCGCACAUUGGACAGUACUCUGCUCUGGCGCAUCAGUUUGCCAAAUGUCUUCUUGAUGUCUCUAGAACCGCAUGAAAUGUACAGGUUUUCACAUUCGCUUUCUAUGAAGGCAUGUGAGUAGACUGUUGUGCUCACAUGUCAAGUGUUGCAGGAUGACUUCAAUAUGAUAUUUCGACAGCAUUUCAGGGAGAAGCAGAUUAAAAAGUGAGCAAUUUGAGCCCUGGUGCCCAUGGCUCAGACAGCGGCCCAGCUUGUGGGGCCUUGUUUAGAGAAGAUCUGCGAAGUUGCAAGCGGCAGAAAAUACACACAGCUCAGGCAUGAAGC
rnacentral:lncRNA from 1 species